rnacentral:rRNA from 1 species
ACAACGAAGAGUUUGAUCCUGGCUCAGGAUGAACGCUAGCGACAGGCUUAACACAUGCAAGUCGAGGGGCAGCACAGGUAGCAAUACCGGGUGGCGACCGGCGCACGGGUGAGUAACGCGUAUGCAACUUGCCUAUCAGAGGGGGAUAACCCGGCGAAAGUCGGACUAAUACCGCAUGAAGCAGGGGCCCCGCAUGGGGAUAUUUGCUAAAGAUUCAUCGCUGAUAGAUAGGCAUGCGUUCCAUUAGGCAGUUGGCGGGGUAACGGCCCACCAAACCGACGAUGGAUAGGGGUUCUGAGAGGAAGGUCCCCCACAUUGGUACUGAGACACGGACCAAACUCCUACGGGAGGCAGCAGUGAGGAAUAUUGGUCAAUGGGCGUAAGCCUGAACCAGCCAAGUCGCGUGAGGGAUGAAGGUUCUAUGGAUCGUAAACCUCUUUUAUAAGGGAAUAAAGUGCGGGACGUGUCCCGUUUUGUAUGUACCUUAUGAAUAAGGAUCGGCUAACUCCGUGCCAGCAGCCGCGGUAAUACGGAGGAUCCGAGCGUUAUCCGGAUUUAUUGGGUUUAAAGGGUGCGUAGGCGGCCUUUUAAGUCAGCGGUGAAAGUCUGUGGCUCAACCAUAGAAUUGCCGUUGAAACUGGGAGGCUUGAGUAUGUUUGAGGCAGGCGGAAUGCGUGGUGUAGCGGUGAAAUGCUUAGAUAUCACGCAGAACCCCGAUUGCGAAGGCAGCCUGCCAAGCCAUUACUGACGCUGAUGCACGAAAGCGUGGGGAUCAAACAGGAUUAGAUACCCUGGUAGUCCACGCAGUAAACGAUGAUCACUAGCUGUUUGCGAUACACUGUAAGCGGCACAGCGAAAGCGUUAAGUGAUCCACCUGGGGAGUACGCCGGCAACGGUGAAACUCAAAGGAAUUGACGGGGGCCCGCACAAGCGGAGGAACAUGUGGUUUAAUUCGAUGAUACGCGAGGAACCUUACCCGGGUUUGAACGCAUUUUGACAGCUCUGGAAACAGAGCCUCUAGCAAUAGCGAUUUGCGAGGUGCUGCAUGGUUGUCGUCAGCUCGUGCCGUGAGGUGUCGGCUUAAGUGCCAUAACGAGCGCAACCCUUGCCACUAGUUACUAACAGGUAAAGCUGAGGACUCUGGUGGGACUGCCAGCGUAAGCUGCGAGGAAGGCGGGGAUGACGUCAAAUCAGCACGGCCCUUACAUCCGGGGCGACACACGUGUUACAAUGGCGUGGACAAAGGGAGGCCACCUGGCGACAGGGAGCGAAUCCCCAAACCACGUCUCAGUUCGGAUCGGAGUCUGCAACCCGACUCCGUGAAGCUGGAUUCGCUAGUAAUCGCGCAUCAGCCAUGGCGCGGUGAAUACGUUCCCGGGCCUUGUACACACCGCCCGUCAAGCCAUGGGAGCCGGGGGUACCUGAAGUCCGUAACCGAAAGGAUCGGCCUAGGGUAAAACUGGUGACUGGGGCUAAGUCGUAACAAGGUAGCCGUACCGGAAGGUGCGGCUGGAACACCUCCUUU